rnacentral:antisense_RNA from 1 species
AGAUCGCGGCCGCAGCCGCCUAGGUGGCGGCCGCUCAUGUGCCCCCUCCAGGGGGU